GUUGAGUAUUAGGGCCCGAAUAAAACAUAUACUGCACAUAUUGGACUCAUUUUACAUCAUUUCUCUCUCUCUUCGCUCACUCUUUCGGUAUCUCCUAAACCCUCGAUCUCUUUCUUCCUUUGAUUUCUCUUCAUCUCCCCAGUGAUUUGAUUGAAUCGUUCAUCAUUCUUUCUCAAUGACUCUCAUAAAUUCUUGAUGGGAAGCUUUGGCACAAGCAACCUAGCCCGGCGUUCUUUUUGCUCCAGUCAACUCUCUGGCGAAGUCUCUCCUAUAGAAAGCACAGAGUCAUCCACUGUUGUGCAUAAGAUGGAAAGUGGUGAGCAAGUCACUUAGAAAAUGAAUUCAAUGGAAAAGAAGAGGAAAAUCAUAAACGAGUUCCCCAGUCCAAGGUAUAAUUUUUAUGAUAUAUUAUUUUCUUUCUACAUUUGGGUUCUCCACAAUUUCUUAGUUGUAUAUCAUUUAAUUCAUAUUAUAAUAUAAUAUGGGCUACGUAUUGUUCUGUUAUACGAUCAUCAUGCAAGAGGAAAAAAGCAUAAAAGUUGUGCUUACUCUGUAUGUCACAAGCCUUGUAGAUAGGGUAAGAACUAUUGUUGUUGUAUUAGCAGUAAUAAUUGUAAGUUUAUCUCUCGUUGUCUUCACUUUUUCUUUUCUUUAGAAAUAAAAAAUAGUUGCCUGUAUCUUCUUGGUAGGAUUCUAAUACAUUUUAGUUUGUAACACUAUUUGUUUAAGUACUGUGAGAAUAAAGAAGCAUUCUAUGUUGUUGACUAAUUAUUAUAUUGGAAUAAAAUUGUAAUAAUCUGUCUACUACUAAAACACUACUAUAGAUUGGCAUUGUUAAGUUAUUGGAUAAUUAUAAUGGAGUGGUGUAAUGGACUUUGACUAACCUUUUGUUUUGCAGUAUGAAGAGGAUGACUAAGUGUAAUAAGUUUUAAUACUCAAUUCGUUAAAAGUACAUUUUAUAUUUCUGUAUAUAAUAUAUCAUAUUAGAUCAAGUUGCAUUGUGGAAUUCAUGAUAUAUUUUAUUUACUCUUAUUAGACUCUAGUAGUUAUCAUUGGAUUUUGAUUUUUUAUUAUUUUUGCUGUAACUUGUUUAGAUAAUAUUUGAGACCAAUUGACUGCUUGGUCCCUUCAAAACUAGUUAUCCCGUUGCUCUGAAACUUGAGUUGCUUGCUUCUUAUCUUCAGAUUUUAUUGCAUAUUAUAUCUGGUGAAUAAAAUUAGAGUUACUCUCUGAUAUUGGUUUUAUUUA